rnacentral:rRNA from 1 species
UACGUAGGCAGCAAGCGUUGUUCGGAGUUACUGGGCGUAAAGGGUGCGUAGGCGGCUUCUUAAGUCUGGUGUGAAAUCUCCCGGCUCAACUGGGAGGGUGCGCCGGAUACUGAGGGGCUAGAGUGUGGGAGAGGAAAGUGGAAUUCCAGGUGUAACGGUGAAAUGCGUAGAUAUCUGGAGGAACACCGGUGGUGUAAACGGCUUUCUGGACCAUUACUGACGCUGAUGCACGAAAGCGUGGGUAG